ACCCGGAUCCGAGGCGCGGAUCCGGGUACAGUUCGCGGAUCCGGGUACAAGCCAGCGGGCUUGGGCUUUUCCUUGCGAAUUUGGGCUGCUGAAUGGGCUUGGGCGACUGGGCCGUGGUUUUUGGGCCCAAACAAGGGCUGGAUCAGUUUUUCAGCAUGUUUAGGCGGUUUUUUUGGGCUUUUUAUUGUCCAUUUUUAUUUAUUUUAUUUUCUUUUAAAAUAGAAUAGAUGUUGGGUUUCCACGAAUGGGUCACGAAGAAUUUUAAUUCUUUUAUUACUGUUCUUUGCAUGUCGUGGUUGUUAAUCCCUUAUGCUCUUU
rnacentral:lncRNA from 1 species